GAUGAACGCUGACAGAAUGCUUAACACAUGCAAGUCAACUGUGGCGGACGGGUGAGUAACGCGUAAAGAACUUGCCUCACAGCUAGGGACAACAUUUGGAAACGAAUGCUAAUACCUGAUACUGUGAGAGAGCUUUGCGUCCCAUUAGCUAGUUGGAGAGGUAACGGCGCACCAAGGCGAUGAUGGGUAGCCGGCCUGAGAGGGUGAUCGGCCACAAGGGGAACGAGACACGGCCCUUACUCCUACGGGAGGCAGCAGUGGGGAAUAAUGGACAAUGGACCAAAGUCUGAUCCAGCAAUUCUGUGUGCACGAUGAAGGUUUCGGAAGGUAAAGUGCUGUCAGUUGGGAAGCGGUAACAAAAGAAGAAGUGACGGCUAAAUACGUGCCAGCAGCCGCGGUAAUUC
rnacentral:rRNA from 1 species